GACGAACGCUGGCGGCGUGCUUAACACAUGCAAGUCGAACGGAAAGGCCCUGCUUUUGUGGGGUGCUCGAGUGGCGAACGGGUGAGUAACACGUGAGUAACCUGCCCUUGACUUUGGGAUAACUUCAGGAAACUGGGUCUAAUACCGGAUAGGAGCUCCUGCUGCAUGGUGGGGGUUGGAAAGUUUCGGCGGUUGGGGAUGGACUCGCGUCUUAUCAGCUUGUUGGUGGGGUAGUGGCUUACCAAGGCUUUGACGGGUAGCCGUCCUGAGAGGGUGACCGGCCACAUUGGGACUGAGAUACGGCCCAGACUCCUACGGGAGGCAGCAGUGGGGAAUAUUGCACAAUGGGCGGAAGGCUGAUGCAGCAACGCAGCGUGCGGGAUGACGGCCUUCGGGUUGUAAACCGAUUUCGCCUGUGACGAAGCGUGAGUGACGGUAAUGGGUAAAGAAGCACCGGCUAACUACGUG
rnacentral:rRNA from 1 species